GACACGUGGUGCCUUCAGGCUCUGGGGCCUAGGACCUUUGUGGUAGCAGAGUCAGUGCAGAGAACCAGAAAAUACCAGGUUGCUUAUAGAAGGACGCCAUGUGCUUGCUGGAGGUCUCAGGUGCAACCAAAUUGCUUGCAGCUAGGAGGACCUUGAAGAGAAAUGGAACCAGCCCGCCAAACCAAGAAGGGUUAGCACUUUUGCUAGGAGAGCUGACCACGCACAAACAGAUGAGAACCAAAAUCGAGUGAAGAGGAUUGAAGAUGAACCCACAUUUUAAAAGUUCUUAUCUGCUGGAGGUGGCAUUACCUGUGACUUCGCUUCACUUCUCCAUACAUGGCUGUUAUAGCAGAAAAUCCAGCUUUCUGAAGCACAUUUAAUGACAUAUGAUGAGACUUAUGUGAUGUGAGACCUGAGAAAACUAUGAUAGAAAGAAGCAACUCAAGCUGCAAGGAUAUUCCUCAUGUAUCAUGCAAGGAUAUUCCUCAUGUAUCAUGCUUUUUCUAUCUUCUGCUCUUUGCCACCUGUGAGGUCCCUGAAAAUGAAGGCCAAUACUACCCAG